rnacentral:tmRNA from 1 species
GGGGGCGACACGGCAUUCGACGUGGAUUGCAAAACCCAAGGUGCAUGCCGAGGUGCAGUUACCUCGUAAAUCCGCUGCAAAUCCAAUAGUUGCCAACGACGACAACUACGCACUCGCCGCCUAAUACCCGGUAGGGUGCCGUCUCACUGGAGCCGUGCCCGUGCGUCCAGGUUCGAGGCGUCGAUUCUCACGGGAUCGCGAGGAGGCUCGUCCGGGGCCAAAUCGCUAAAACCUUACCGGACUCGUCGCUGAACUGCCCUGUCGGUCGGGCGGCCAGCGGUCAAAUACAAUAGACCGACUAAGCAUGUAGAACCGAGGGCGGAGGGUCCGCGGACGCGGGUUCGACUCCCGCCGCCUCCACCA